UGUCCCGAGGGUAGGGAGAAAGGAGAGUAAUUUGUUAUUUCCCUCGUGAGGUAUCGCUGCACUCCGUGGCCGUUUGCGCUUUUCUUCGCAACUCGGAGCAAGCACGCUAUGAGGUGAUGAUGCAUCUCCCUGCUACGUUUAUGUCACGCUUUAGGGACUUGGCCCUGUCUUCCAGAUGCAGUUUGUAUGGUCGCAUUCCUUUUGGAAAGUAUGACUUCUGCUCGGAGACAUUUUGGAAAACCAGAAAAGACAAAGAGAGUCAUUCAUGUAUUUCAACAAUUGAGCAAAAGGUUCUUGUAGCAAACUUACCUGGCUUUUCUCAAAUAACAUAAGGCAUCCUGCCCCACAGCCAUGUAAAUUUUCCUGCAUGCAAAUGUGCAUUGCCGUCAUUUACAUUCCUCUGCUGACAGUGAAGGGGUCUGUCGUGCUAAAUCAAACUGAUGGAGAAACUGGACGUUAUCUUUACUCAGGAAGCCCAAAUUAAUUCUACCAAAACAAGAGUAAAAUAGUCUGUUGAAGGUAUCAAACUACGGAAGAUCACAGGUGUGACAGUAAAGUGGCAAGUUUUCAAUAAAAAUAGUUACUUAAAAUGUUCCUUUUGCAAAUACAUAUCAAUACUUUUCUGGAAUAGGUGCACAUGAAAUAGGAUUGUUCUGUGAAAAUUAUUUGGUUCAAACAAGGAGAUCAGAAUUCAGCAAUUGCAACGUAAAAGAGAAGAGAUCCAGUUCACCCCAUGGAUGAAGCUACUUGUGUAAGGCUGAACCCACCAUUGAAAAGUCCUCAGUUCAUUCUAGAUCUUCCUAACUGUAGGCUCACUUUUUGAGUUUCCACAGCUCACAAUACUGCACAGAGUAACUGUGGAUUUAAGUGACACUACCCAAAAUUUUGUAGAACAGAUCAGGAUCUAGAUUAUUUUUUAAACCUCACCUGAAGUUUGUGUCUCAUAAAGCAGAUAAAAAGUGGGGUGUAGAUAUACUUUUCCAGAAAUAGAGUUACCAUUAAUCUCUGGCUCUUUUCUGAAUGAUUAACAAUGAAUCACUGUUGGUUUUUUUUACAAGUCUCAAUGCAUUCACUGUAUGCCAGGUGUCGCAACAGCAUGAGAACAUGUACCAAUUUGAAACUGGCUAGACAGCUUCACAAUGGCAUCUCCACUUGGUAGUAGGAGUCUUGAAAAGAAACUACUUGCAUUUAACCUUCCUAGUAUGGAUAAUAUACUGUCAUCUUCUUGAGUGUAAUUAUCUUUCCACCCCCGCCAUCUCAUCCAUUCUGCUUUCCCAGUAGGAGGAUCAAAAGGAAGUUAGUCAAUUGCAGUAUUCAUUAGAUAAUCCAAAGGAGAUAUUAAUCUGGAAGACAGUAUUACCAAAUAAUUAAUUUCUGGGUUAAUUCCAUCCUUAUUUAUCUGAUUUUCUUCUGAUUGUGAGUGUGAGUUUUUCAGCCUAAAAUCCUAGAAAGGACGUAAGUCCUAGUACAAAGCACUCUCUGCUUGAGAAGAGUGGUCCUGGAGGGACAUUAAGAGAGAGGAAGGAAAUGUGUGUCGUUUUCAGGACUCUUGCUACCUACUGAUACAUUUUAAGGGAAAAUAUUCUCAGUGAGUUGCUGAAAAAACAGUAAGCAGAAAACUUUUCAUUUUGUAUGUACAGGCAUAGUUACUUAGGAAAGAUUUGCAGUGAGACUUACUUCCUUAUUCUGGAAUAAUUGCAUUUGUUUUCUAUUUCUCAACUCAUCUCUGUCUUUUGGUUGUUCCAGGUGACCACUGAUAGGUCACUAGCAAAACAAAUCUCUCUUUUCAUUGGUGAGCUUUCGUCUGGGCUGAUCUGACUCUACCAGUGCUAUCGCUGGGUACGUACUGUAUGCAAACAGACCAUACAGGGAAGAAUCACCAUGGAAAGAAGUUGGUC